UUGAACGCUGGCGGCUGCUUAACACAUGCAAGUCGAACGGAGUGGCGAACGGGUGAGUAACGCGUGAGCAACCUGCCUAUGAAAGUGGGAUAGCCUCGGGAAACCGGGAUUAAUACCGCAUAGGCAUAGAUGGGCUAGCGUCUGAUUAGCUAGUUGAUGAGGUAACAGCCCACCAAGGCGACGAUUAGUAGCCGGUCUGAGAGGCUGAACGGCCACAUUGGAACUGAGAUACGGUCCAAACUCCUACGGGAGGCAGCAGUGGGGAAUAUUGCAAAAUGGGGGAAACCCUGAUGCAGUGACGCUGCGUGAACGAAGAAGGUAUUCGUAUCGUAAAGUUCUGUCCUAUGGGAAGCAGUACCAUAGAAGAAAGCUCCGGCUAAAUACGUGCCAGUAGCCGCGGUAAUUC
rnacentral:rRNA from 1 species